GCGCCGUGCGCCGCCCCCGUUCCACCGAGCCCGGGCCCGAGCGCGGCCCUGCACACGGAGGAGAGCGAGAGCAGUCUGAGACGAAUCGGCGGGCACGGACAGCGCUUCCGAGUGCUGCGCGCAAGCUUUUAGGUUCGCUAAGAACUGCUCUCCGUCAGGCUCUGGCAAGAGGAACUCACUCAGGCAUUCCAAGUGUAUCCAGGGAGCUGCUGUAAGGCUGGGGGUUGUGGCAGCUGCAGCGAGUCAAUAACAAGCACACACAGGACUGUACAGGAAGGCUGGACACAACAGCAGGAAGAAGGUGCCAUUAAACUCUCCACGGUCCUGCUUGGGCAGAGAGGUUGGACAAGGUGACUUCCAGGGUUCCCUUCCAACCUCAACUAUUCUGUCAUCCUGUGAGAGGCUCAAGAACAUUCUUCAAAUCUUUCUCAACCUCAUCAUGUUUAAGAUCCUCAACUGAUCCCAGUUUACAUCUGCUCUGGAGAGCUUCACCACCACUUUAUAAUUUUAAAGUUUUAUCUGUGACAGAAAGGACAUUUCCCCUCUGUGUUUGUCCCUAUGGGCCUGGCAUAGUGCUGGAAAGUCAGAGUGGAUAUCUGCAACAGACCAGAAGCAAGGGGACUAAAGGCUUCAGGGAGACAAAGGCUGGAAAGGGACUGAUAAGGGAAUGAGAGCAGCUCAGCAGAAAAACCUGAAACAAAGUGAGGAGAGAGAGAAAUCUGAUGUUAAGUCAAGUGGUCAAGGCGAUGAACGUGAUGGGAAGGAUGGAGAGAAACGGUUUUAACUUAGGUAUGAAACAUGGGCUGAGAGAGGAGGAUGUAAGAUUUAAAUAUGGAGUUACAGAAGAAAUGAGGCCUUUAGCUAAGCUUCCUGGGGGUGGUCCUAAGCCAUCCAGUGCAAACUCUUCAUCCACCAUUGCCAACCAUCACAGCAUGAACUAAUGUUCUGUGCUAACUUCUGAAAAAGUAACUGCUGAAAGAGUACUUUAUUUUUAAAAACAAUGGAAACAAACUGAGUGGGAGACACCCUUAUAACACUACUAAUGAUUUUCAAGUGUUUAAAAGCUUACUGCCCUGAACUGAAGGGUCAAAUUUCAGAAAGGUAACUAAAAUUAAAAAUUACUCAAAAAGGAAAAAAGGUUCCUGGUACUGAUGCAACUGUCGUAAUAUAAGUUAUCACAUCUUUUCCAAGCACAGAAUUUCAUCAUCUCUAGCAGUGUAUUACCAUCACCCACACCUAUCCAAACUAUUAAUCCUCCUUUUAAGGAUAAUUACAUCCUUGUCCUUAAUUCAGUUAUUAAAAAAGAUUAAAACCAACUGUGUAAUUGGAUCACUGAUGGUAUGAAUUCUCAGUUUUGAGACUGAUUUAUAAGCUCUGAUUUUGCUGAGAGUUCCAUUUUUUCAGGGUCUUCAGCAAAGAGUUUCAACUUAAAAAUUUGAGGGUAUUUUUGAAGUAAUUUGACAAUUAUCAGCAAAUUUGUUUCCUAUAUUCAGUUAUCUGGCAUUCAAGAUAAUUAAGAUCAAUUAUUCAAGACACUAUCAAGGAGUUGGAUUCUCUCUAUACAACAAGAACAAGGCUGCAAGCAAAAACCUGCAGCUUCAGGUAAUCCUUUCUUGCAUUAACUUCUACUUGAACUAGAGCACUUCUACAACACAGCAACCCACAGCUAAAUUUGAUGCAAAAUUCCAGUGUUUUGUCUGUAACAGUGCUCCAAAAAGUUAUUUCUGUCACAGAAAAAAAAAAAAAAAAAGAGAGAAACAAACAGCUAUAGCUUGAGUUCACCCAUCUUCAUAUUCCACCACCCUGGCCUUGAUCUACUGCAGCAGACAAAACAUUCACCAACCACGAAAGGAUGUCAGCUGAAGCCAGACCACUGAAAUACCUCAGGAAAGCACAAAGAAGAAACAAUGGUUUCAAUUAACCCUGACAGUUUCUUAGAGCUAGUGACUCCCUGUUUAAUCUGGUCAUAGGGGCCCAGGAAAACUCUAGAUGGGGGAUUUAAUGAAAAACUGUAUAGACAUUUAAUUUCAGCUUCUGAAGGCACACUGAUCUUGAACCCUUGCAAAGACUACUUAUAAAACAUAGAGGAGAGAAGAAAUACCAAGAAGCUAAAGUAAUAGAAUAAAUUUGCAGCAAAAUACAUACUGUCCAUUCCCCAAACAUUCAUGAAGUGGUUAAAUAAAUUAGAAAUAUGAAAAGAAUAAAUGCCAAGUUGGUCCAAGUAAUAGAACUCUGCAAGUCAAUUCCAAACAGAAAAAAAAACAGAAGCAGAAAAAGAACAAUGAUAAAGAGAAGUUUAGAUUUCAAGUACCUGAGAAAUUAUACGCUCCCCAUCUUGAUACACCUUCUCUCCUAUAACAUCCACUAUCUUCAUUCGCUCUGAUGCCUGGAGCAAAGAGGAAAAUUAAAAAUGAUAAUUAAUUAUAGUUCAUCUCUGUGAACUCUCCUGAAUCUUUACGACCCCUCCUGAAAUAAACAUUUACUAGACACACAAAUACCCAAUUUAUAAAAAUAACCCCAAAAUGACAUUGAUAUAGUACUGCAACACAGGUCUUAAGACCACCAUAAUCA